rnacentral:snRNA from 1 species
GGCAAAAAUCCCUACACUAUUUAC